rnacentral:lncRNA from 1 species
AGAACAGCCUCUCAAGUUCGCUCACUUCCUGUGGACAGGGCUAGGCGCCAGUUGGAUCCUGGAGCUCGAGCUGGGAAGAGGCCCGCAGACAGCUUUUCUUCAAAUUGGUCACAUUUCCAGCUACCUGAAUGGAAGCAAGCUACACAGAUCUCUCACACCUACACCAGAAAAAUUGAAAUUUGCAAAAUAAUGUUUAAGAAAUCAAAUGAAAGACUAAAGCAGGUGACUUCUUCCACCAGAGAAAUGAAGAAAAAGUAAGCAACCCAUAGGCAAUAGGAAGGGAGGCCAUCAGCAAAUUAAUCUAAUUAUCUAGUAUGUUGUCUCCUUCAUUGGAAUGUAAGCUUUUUGAGAGCAAGGACUUUAAAAAAAUUUGUAUCUUCUUCAAGAUGAAACAUGAAAACCAUCUCCUGAUAGAGAAGUGAAUUCACAGAAUGAAUUAAAACACACUUUGAGGGGACAUUUCCAAUGCUUAUUUUUGGCCUCACUAUAUAUAUAUAUAUAUAUAUAUAUAUAUAUAUAUAUAUAUAUAUAUAUAUAUAUAUAUAUUUGUCACGGGGGUUUUGUGGGAGAGAGAAAAUGUAG